rnacentral:rRNA from 1 species
GAUGAACGCUGGCGGCGUGCCUAAUACAUGCAAGUCGAACGCUUCACUUCGGUGAAGAGUGGCGAACGGGUGAGUAAUACAUAAGUAACCUGGCAUCUACAGGGGGAUAACUGAUGGAAACGUCAGCUAAGACCGCAUAGGUGUAGAGAUCGCAUGAACUCUAUAUGAAAAGUGCUACGGGACUGGUAGAUGAUGGACUUAUGGCGCAUUAGCUGGUUGGUAGGGUAACGGCCUACCAAGGCGACGAUGCGUAGCCGACCUGAGAGGGUGACCGGCCACACUGGGACUGAGACACGGCCCAGACUCCUACGGGAGGCAGCAGUAGGGAAUUUUCGGCAAUGGGGGAAACCCUGACCGAGCAACGCCGCGUGAAGGAAGAAGUAAUUCGUUAUGUAAACUUCUGUUAUAGAGGAAGAACGGUGGAUAUAGGGAAUGAUAUCCAAGUGACGGUACUCUAUAAGAAAGCCACGGCUAACUACGUGCCAGCAGCCGCCGUAAUAC